rnacentral:rRNA from 1 species
AGAGUUUGAUCCUGGCUCAGAUUGAACGCUGGCGGAAUGCUUUACACAUGCAAGUCGAACGGCAGCACGGGAGCUUGCUCCUGGUGGCGAGUGGCGAACGGGUGAGUAACGCGUCGGAACGUACCGAGUAAUGGGGGAUAACGCAGCGAAAGUUGUGCUAAUACCGCAUACGCCCUGAGGGGGAAAGUGGGGGAUCGCAAGACCUCACGUUAUUCGAGCGGCCGACGUCUGAUUAGCUUGUUGGUGGGGUAAUGGCCUACCAAGGCGACGAUCAGUAGCGGGUCUGAGAGGAUGAUCCGCCACACUGGAACUGAGACACGGUCCAGACUCCUACGGGAGGCAGCAGUGGGGAAUUUUGGACAAUGGGGGCAACCCUGAUCCAGCCAUUCCGCGUGAGUGAAGAAGGCCUUCGGGUUGUAAAGCUCUUUCAGCCGGAACGAAACGGUAUGUCUUAAUACGAUGUGCUAAUGACGGUACCGGCAGAAGAAGCACCGGCUAACUACGUGCCAGCAGCCGCGGU